rnacentral:rRNA from 1 species
UACUCGAGUGGCGAACGGGUGAGUAACACGUUGGUGAUCUGCCCUGCACUCUGGGAUAAGCCUGGGAAACUGGGUCUAAUACCGGAUAGGACCAUGCUUUAGUGUGUGUGGUGGAAAGUUUUUUCGGUGUAGGAUGAGCCCGCGGCCCAUCAGCUUGUUGGUGGGGUAAUGGCCUACCAAGGCGGCGACGGGUAGCCGGACUGAGAGGUUGGUCGGCCACAUUGGGACUGAGAUACGGCCCAG